rnacentral:rRNA from 1 species
GAUGAACGCUGGCGGCGUGCCUAAUACAUGCAAGUCGAGCGAACAGACGAGGAGCUUGCUCCUCUGACGUUAGCGGCGGACGGGUGAGUAACACGUGGAUAACCUACCUAUAAGACUGGGAUAACUUCGGGAAACCGGAGCUAAUACCGGAUAAUAUAUUGAACCGCAUGGUUCAAUAGUGAAAGACGGUUUUGCUGUCACUUAUAGAUGGAUCCGCGCCGCAUUAGCUAGUUGGUAAGGUAACGGCUUACCAAGGCAACGAUGCGUAGCCGACCUGAGAGGGUGAUCGGCCAAACUGGAACUGAGACACGGUCCAGACUCCUACGGGAGGCAGCAGUAGGGAAUCUUCCGCAAUGGGCGAAAGCUUGACGGAGCAACGCCGCGUGAGUGAUGAAGGUCUUCGGAUCGUAAAACUCUGUUAUUAGGGAAGAACAAAUGUGUAAGUAACUAUGCACGUAUUGACGGUACCUAAUCAGAAAGCCACGGCUAACUACGUG